GAUGAACGCUGGCGGCGUGCCUAAUACAUGCAAGUCGAGCGAACAGACGAGGAUCUUGCGCCUCUGACGUUAGCGGCGGACGGGUGAGUAACACGUGGAUAACCUACCUAUAAGACUGGGAUAACUUCGGGAAACCGGAUCUAAUACCGGAGAAUAUAUUGAACCGCAUGGUUCAAUAGUGAAAUACGGUUUUUCGGUCACUUCUAGAGGGAUCCGCGCCGCAUUAGCUAGUUGGUAAGGUAACGGCUUACCAAGGCAACGAUGCGUAGCCGACCUGAGAGGGUGAUAGGCGACACUGGAACUGAGACACGGUCCAGACUCCUACGGGAGGCAGCAGUAGGGAAUGUUCCGCAAUGGGGGAAAGCUUGACGGAGCAACGGCGCGUGAGUGAUGAAGGUCUUCGGAUCGUAAAACUCUGUUAUUAGGGAAGAACAAAUGUGUAAGUAACUAUGCACGUCUUGACGGUACCUAAUAAGAAAGCACCGGCUAACUACGUG
rnacentral:rRNA from 1 species